CCUUCGGCUCCGAGCCGACCGCCACUUCGUUGCAGCAGUAGUGCGCUCGUGUCUUCCGUGUUGUGUUCGUCGUUGGACUUGUUUAUUUUUGUUGCGAUGGCUCUUGAUUUUAAGGCUUGGGGUGAUGUCCUCACCUUCCCUAACUCCAAGAGGAUGAAGGUGUUACUGGAGGCUGUUGACUCUAUUCUAUCCACCAAUCUGCUCUAAGUGAUCGAUGAUGUGUUUUGCGGGCUCCCCAACUGAUCCUUCCGUUUAACUUGUGACUGAAGAUUGCCAAUUAGUGAUCUGUGAUAUAAUCUGUGAUAAUUGUUUUCAUUUGACAUGUAGUAUUUAAUUUAAAAUUUUGACUCGGUUAAUGUUGUGAUGUACCUGAGACUAAUGU